UCAUUAUCAUUUCGAAAACAGAGUUGCGGAAGACGUGCCAAUUUUUUUUUCUUUUUCCAACCUGGCCCACGAGACGCACAGACCCGCCACAAAUACAAAGUUCCCCUGUCUACUCGGACAGAGUCUUCUUUAUAUUUGCACGGCGUACCAACGAUACAACAGGAUCUCAACCACAACCUACAUUUAUCAAUCAACAACCAAUUCAUAAUAUGCAUUUCCAUACAUCUAUCAAUCUUUAAGAUGAU
rnacentral:lncRNA from 1 species